GAAAAAUGCUAAACUCGAGAUCAGCAUGCUAUUGUUUUCAUGAGCUUUUUGUUUAUUUAUUUUAUUCUAAUGUGGUCUAGCAUAAAGUCAAGUGGUGUUCGUUGAGACGUUGAUUGUCCUGAUAAGUUGUAGCUAUCCUGUGCAUUUUAUUCUUUGUGACCUACAAGCUGAUAAGAGCAUUUAAGCCUGUCAUCCAUCAAGAUAAGUUUCUGAUCCCUUAUAAUAACAGUCAUAACAUGCUCGUAAUAAGAAAUCAUUAAUUGUAGCAAUCUGUCCUUAAACAUUGCUGAUGCCUAGUAGUUUAAAAGCUAAUGUUAGCUGUUCAUGCUGUCUUGUUUUCAACAUACAAGUGAACUUGUGAGGCUAGCCCUGCUGCUCCCGUAUCCAUCUGCCUUUAUGCAACAAUCAAGUAAAAUCACGAUCUGCUUGUUUUAGCUCUAUGUUUUACUAGCACUAGUAAAAUCACUAUAUGUGCCUUGGUACAAUUUGUUGCUCUGUGCAGUCACUUGGUACUGAAUUUCUAACUUCUAAGUAACAGAGCUAUAUUUAUUCAGAGGCUAAAAUUGUUCAUUUUCCUAAGUUAAAAAAGAAGUAUUAUGCUUUACGAGGUGGUCAUUUCUAACUUAUAUGCGCAACUGAUUGUUGGCGGUCGUUUUCAGUGAUUUCUACCGCCAACAUUCCUUCGGAUUUUAGGCUCUCAGGACUAUAAUGCAUCGAAUUUUACUAACAUUAACGAGUUCCAUGAGUUUUGGUGCACUUCUGAUUUCAGGAACAUAAUAUACGAAUUUGAGCCGAAAUGGGAGGAAUCCCAGGCCGGCCUACCCCUGCACCAUUCUCGCAGUGUGACUCCUCGGAGAUGGCCCUGAGCAAGAUAUCAAGCCAAGAUCAAGUGUUUGACACGAUUGCAAUUAAACAAGAUCGAAAGGCACAAACCAAAUAUAUUUGGGUCCACAACUCAGUGACAAACUACUUGACCAAGACCCAACUGACUUGAGGAACAUCACAAGACCCUGAACCAACGUGACACGAUAACGGAGGGCCGAGAUGUGCUAGAGCCAGGCCGACCGGCCUAGGUGAGGCCGGCCGGCCUAAGAAGCACGUGGAAAAUGCCGCGGCAAUUGACCACCGACCCCAGGAAACAAUCCAAGCCACCCAGAGAAGGUCGGCGCCAGAUGGCGCAAUCCCUAGGCCGACCGGCCUAGGGGAGGCCGACCGGCCCUACCUGGUAGCAUCUGGAGUCCCCCCAUGGCGUGGAAGCUAAGCAUAACCGCCUUACCGGCUUACAACCGACGCCACCUGCUGAACCGACCUCAGAGCACUAUAAAUUGAGCUCACUCUCCCACUUGUAACACACACCUUCAUUUGAGAGAAGAGUUCACUCUUGAAGUUCUCUUUGUGUUAAAAUAGGGAGAGAGUGAGGUGAGAAGCUUUGGCGCAAACCAGGCUUAAAGGAGUGGGCUCGAGUUUUCUUGGGUCUUACUCUAUAUUUUGUAUCCACCUCAGAGGAAUAUAUCUUUGAGUAAGUUCCUCGUCUCAACUUCAGUCUCUCGCUAGCUUUACUUUCAGCAUUAGUUACUUGUUUAAUUAAUUUUUUUGAUCUGCGGGAUCCUGAGUCUGCGUAAGUAGCAAGUUCUACUUAUCUGAGGUUGCUUUCUAUCUAAGUACACGGUGGGAGCAAGUAGCUCGAUAGUCCUGGGCGUGGUGCCCAGACUUGGCUAGCUAUCUUAGGUUGUGUUCCACCCCAUGGUACCAUUGUGGUAGGCGGUAGGUGGUGACAGCCCUGUCCGUCCCUCGUAGUCCACCACGUUCGGGUGUUUUCAUAGCAGUAAUGCCAACUGCCGUUGGACUCCCUUCUCACCCAGUCUGAGUUCUUCCCUGAGGCCGCCGAAGUAGAUCGAGUUAGUAGUUAGCUUGUCGCUAGGUAGAAUAAGUAAGUUAUCUGGAUUUAGGCCCUUUACCCUCAUACAUUUUCUCUUUUGCUGUGUCCAGUUGAGUAGUUCUAGAUUCGGUCGAAGUUUUACCGUUCCUUGGAUUCGAUAUCCCAGGUAUAGUCCCUGGUGAAGUCUACAUCGGUCUCUGUACGCUUGCGGAGUAAUUCGUUUAGGCUAAGUAGUGCCAACACUGAUAAAGCUCCUGAAGAAUCCCUCAAGAAGAACAUUGAAGUGGACAGGCUGAUUGAUAUGCUUAUUGACGAUAAGAUUCAUUGGAUGCAUGUGGACAUGUCAAAAGGAGGACCAUUGCAUGUGUCAGGACAAUGAUAUAAUUUGUGUACUUGUUCGGAUCAUAAGAUGAACUCAUGUAUUGAUACAGUAGGCUUGAGUAUUGGAUGAUUGGUAAUGUAUAUUCUUUAAAAAUAAGCUUUGUAUAUUGUUUUGGGUUGCAAUGGUAAUUUUGGAAAUGGUCUGAAAUAGUCUAA